GACAGAGGAUGCAAGCGUUAUCCGGAAUUACUGGGCGUAAAGCGUGCGCAGGCGGUUUUGUAAGUCUGACGUGAAAUCCCCGGGCUCAACCUGGGAAUUGCGUUGGAGACUGCAAGGCUGGAAUCUGGCAGAGGGGGGUAGAAUUCCACGUGUAGCAGGUGAAAUGCGUAGAGAUGAUGGAGGAAUACCGAAUGGCGAGGCAGCCUCCUGGGCCAACACUGACGCUCAUGCACGAAAGCGUGGGGAGCAAACAGG
rnacentral:rRNA from 1 species